CAGGCCUAACACAUGCAAGUCGAGCGGACUUAUCCUUCGGGAUAGGUUAGCGGCGGACGGGUGAGUAACACGUAGGCAACCUGCCUGUAAGAUCGGGAUAACUACCGGAAACGGUAGCUAAGACCGGAUAGCUGGUUUCUCCGCAUGGGGGAAUCAUGAAACACGGGGCAACCUGUGGCUUACGGAUGGGCCUGCGGCGCAUUAGCUAGUUGGUGGGGUAACGGCCCACCAAGGCGACGAUGCGUAGCCGACCUGAGAGGGUGAUCGGCCACACUGGGACUGAGACACGGCCCAGACUCCUACGGGAGGCAGCAGUAGGGAAUCUUCCGCAAUGGGCGCAAGCCUGACGGAGCAACGCCGCGUGAGUGAUGAAGGUUUUCGGAUCGUAAAGCUCUGUUGCCAAGGAAGAACGCCUCGGAGAGUAACUGCUCUGAGGGUGACGGUACUUGAGAAGAAAGCCCCGGCUAACUACGUGCCAGCAGCCGCGGUAAUACGUAGGGGGCAAGCGUUGUCCGGAAUUAUUGGGCGUAAAGCGCGCGCAAGCGGUCUUUUAAGUUUGGUGUUUAAGCCCGGGGCUCAACCCCGGUUCGCACUGAAGACUGGGAGACUUGAGUGCAGGAGAGGAAAGCGGAAUUCCACGUGUAGCGGUGAAAUGCGUAGAGAUGUGGAGGAACACCAGUGGCGAAGGCGGCUUUCUGGACUGUAACUGACGCUGAGGCGCGAAAGCGUGGGGAGCAAACAGGAUUAGAU
rnacentral:rRNA from 1 species